UGUGGGGGGGUGGGGACGCUCGGGGUCCGCAGAACACGCGCUCCGAGGCUCGGAGGGGUCGCGGAGCUGCGGAGCGCGGAGGGUCCGUGAGCGGCGGCGCGGCCGUCGGGGCGCGGGGCGGAGACCCCCCCGGGCGCCGUCCCCGAAGUUUCCCUCCGCCCUCCGCUCCGCUCCCCGUUGCCAUGACGAUUCCUUAAACUAACGCCCCGCUGCCGGCGGCGGGGGCCGAGAGCGCGGAGGAUCCGCCGCGAUCCGCCCCGUUCGCCCCCGCCCGCUCCGCGCUGCGGCUCUUCGGCCGCGCCGCGGAUAUGGUGGGUCGGGCCCCGCAGCCCCGCAGAUGGCUGCUGUGUUGCUGGGGACCAGCUGCUGUGAUGGCUGCAGGCCCUGUUACCCUGGAAGGGGAAGAAGCUGGGUGAAAAGGAGCAGAAUUUGGGUAUCCACAGCAAGAGUCAAACUGAGGCCACUGAGCAGGAAGGGCAGAGCGGCUCCACAGUGCUCCCAUUGAGUCCCCUCACCAGCAGCAGACUCCUUGGGGACCGGGCUGAUGCACAAGCAGCAGUCUGAACACAUUGCGGAUCAUCUGCAUAAUUUAUUCCUCUUGUGAAGAGUUUAAUUUAUCAGGCCCAAUAAUAAACUCAUACAUCUUUGCCUGUUACCAGAGCUGGGAGGAGAUGCUUGUGUUCUAAGCACUGAAUUUAUCCCUGGAGCCGCUUCCCAUGCAGACCAGUGCUGUGACAUUAUGGGAUGGAUGCUCAUAUGGUCAGUGUUGUGCCAGGUCUCUGCCAUGGGAGGACAGAGGGAUGGGAAGGAGAGGAGCAUCCAGACCUGGUGGCACCUCACUGAGCUCCAGCCCUCUCUGCCUUCCCUUGUGAGCGGCAGCAGCUCAUAAUGGGGAUGUGAGGAGUGUUUCCUUCCUCAGCUCCAGGUUCCACUGCACUUUCUGUUGCCCUGAAGCUGAGAUGAAAGGAGCAGAAGUGCUGUCUCCUUUCUGCAGACUCUUCGGGAUGGCUCAACCUUUCACCUGGGCCCCUUCUUAUUAGUCUCCUUUCUGGGGUGGCCAUUCCGGCUCCUUCUCUUCUUCCAGCAGUUUUCCCACUCUUGCUUCCCAUUCCUCAGUCCCUCUGGUGCUGUAGCUUUCUGUGCAGGGCUGUGCUCACUCCCAAACCGCUCUUCUGUUCCCAGCACUGUCUGCAGUGGCCGUGGGGGGAUAGAGGAGAAGUGCACGUGGUGCUUGGCUGGGGGAGCUGGGAGCCCUGGGUUGAGCCCCAUCUGGGAGCAGCAGCCUCAGCCCUGGACCUCAGGAUGGGCUCAAGGGAAGGCUCCCAUACCCCAGGCCACUGCCUGUGUUGGGGUGGUUGGGUUAACCUCCCGUGUGAUGCUCACAUGGAAGCCCAGAGGGUGUGGAGUGGUGAUGGGCAUUGGGGCAUUGGGGCAUUGGGGCUGUGCCACCCGCGGUGACACAGAGCCCUGGUGUGCAGCUCCCACCCAACCCCACUGCACUCAGGGCUGGGGCUGCCUGAAGCAGUGGGGUAAGCGGGGGUCACAGGCUGCAGGAGAAGGCUUUGGUGGAUGGGGAGCUCCUGCUCUGCAUCACCGCACAGUGCCUCAUUCCCGUGUCCUAAUUGCAGCCAGUGAUUCUGCCUGCAGCACUGGCAGCAGCGGGGCACGGCGGUGGGGGCUGCUCUGCCUCUAUGGGCGAUGCUGAGGGAUCUGGGGCUGUGUGUGAUGGGCUGUGGGGGGGUCCCACCCCCUGCCCCCCUGUGCCCAGGUUGUCCCCCCUCCAUCCCCAAGCUCUGCAAGGCUGGAUCUAUCCAAGCUUGUUGUCCCUGCGGGCACAGCAGUCCCUGCCCCAGCGCUGCCUGUCCCAGCCUCGGUGUUCCCAGGGCUCAGGGAUGGCAGCAGGACACAAAUGUGCCCCGCACUGUUUUGUUCAGGUCCGACACAAACAAGGGUGGUAGGUUUCCUCUGUCAGCAUCUGUCCUGCGAGCUGAGGGCAGCGGGGUGGUGACAGCUGUGUUCGGAGCGCGGUGCCAGGGCCCCCAGGGACCUCAGGGCAUCACUUUACAGAGGCACAAUAGCAGCUGGGUGAGUUGCAGGGCCCGUGGUGCCUCCGCUGUUGGGUGCUGGAGUGCAUCGUGUACCAUGUUAAAGGCCGGUAGCGCCCAUUGCGGUGCACCAUGGGCAGAAAUGGGAUCCUGGCGGCCGCCCCUUCCCCCCCAGCACCUUACACCGCCAGCACCAUCUGCAGCACAACAAGAAAUCCCAAGCCAUACAUUUUUAAUUUUCUACAACACAGCAGCCAUUUCAGCCACACACCCAGGAAGGAUCUUUAAUGAGGAGUGAGGAGAGAGAGCACGCACAUUUCCAGCGUGCAGGAGAGCCGAGGCACUAUGGAAACACUCUGCUCCCCCCCCGGCUGCCUGCUGCUGCUCCCAGUUCAGCCUGGAGAACUUCCCUGUGCUGCUGGAGGUGGGCUCUGCUGCUGCCUGAGCCGUGAGCCCACCCCUGGCACUGCUGGGCUGCAGGCUCUGCUCCCAGGCUCGGUGCUGCCGAGGGGUGGGAGAGGCACGUGGGGUCCCUCUGUCUCCCUGCUCUCCUCCUGUGGCUCUUGGGGAGCCACGUUGUGCUCAGACAUAACCUCAUUGUGCUGUGCCAUGGGGCUGGCAGUCCUGCAGCCUGCAGGGCACGGUGGGAGCCCCUGGGGCACAGCAUCGCUGUGAACAUCCCCUGCUGGUCUGGGGGUUUGAGCUGGGAUGCUCCAUUUCCAGGAUCUAUGGGGUCUCCAUGUCUCCCUGCCAUCCUGGGGAGGACGUGGGUGUCGCAUGGCUGGGAUUGGUGUGGGAUACAUUGCACUGAUCCUGUCCUUGCUGUCUGUUGUCUGCAGGUUGAUGAGGAGGGAGUGCUGUGACCCCGUGCCUGUGACAGUCAUUUCAGGGCCCCCGGGGGGGCUGUGAGCGCGGCCCCCGGUGCCGGUGCCGGUGCCGGCCGCCCCGCCGCGCCGCACGGAGCAUGCCUCUGAGCCCCGCCGGCAGCAAACAUGAGAGCCCGGAGUCGCCGCCACCAGAACCGCCGCCGCCACCGGAGCGACAGCCCCGCGCCUCCGCCGGGGAGCCGGGCUCCGUCCUGCGGGAGGACACGCGCCUGGACCCGACCCGCGGCCCCGCCGGGCCCCGCUCCCCGAAGCUGGCGGCCCCGGCGCGGAUGGAGGAGCCCGCGCCCGGCGCCAUCGUCGUCCGCAUCGGCAUCCCCGACCUCCAGCAGACGGGAUGUGGGGCAGGGCUGCAGACAGGAGCACGGCACGGUGCCAUCUCAGCUCUGGGCUCCAACGUGGCAGCGGGACCAGCCCUCGAGUUCGCAAUUCGAGCUUCCCGGCUCUCCUGGAACUGUCUACGAGCGUCUUUUAGGUUCCUUUGCGACUCUCCAUCACUUCCUUUGUGUAGCUGAAAGCCUUUGAAAUCA